rnacentral:lncRNA from 1 species
GGAAUUUUGUCUGUUCCUCAAGGGAAUCCUCCUGAAAGCCAUCAACCUGUUGCAAAAAUAGAUGGCCAGAGUUCUGUGAUACCAGGGUUGUCUGACUAGUUGACGAAUUUAUUACACCAGACCAAGUUAGGGGACUCCACUGCUCAGACUCCUCCUCCCAUAUAUGCUGCAAAAUUUGCUGGUACUAUGUUAACUGAGAACCCUAUUUCUGAUUCCAAACUUUGUUUACUU